rnacentral:misc_RNA from 1 species
GAUGAAGAACGUAGUGAAAUGCGAUACUUGGUGUGAAUUGCAGAAUCCCGUGAACCAUCGAGUCUUUGAACGCAAGUUGUGCCCGAAGCCAUUAGGCCGAGGGCACGCCUGCCUGGGCGUCACACGUCGUUGCCCCCCCCAUCUACUCCUUCGGGAUUGCGGGGGGCGGAUGAUGGCCUCCCGUGCGCCUCGCCGCGCGGUUGGCAUAAAUGCCAAGUCCUCGGCGACGCACGCCACGACAAUCGGUGGUUGCGAAACCUCGGUUGCCCGUCGUGUGCGGUCGUCGCGCAUCGAGGGCUCGAAAAAAUUGCCGAGUUCCGGCUCGGCUUUCAACGCGACCCCAGGUCAGGCGGGGUUACCCGCUGAAUUUAAGCAUAUCAAUAAGCGGAGGA